rnacentral:lncRNA from 12 species
CCCAGAGGCUUACACAUGGGCACAAAUGGCAGGAGUCCCCCCUUUGCCAGUGCAGAUCUGCACCUCCAGACCCAGGAACGUCCACCUGAGCAGGGUGUGCACACACGGCCACCCCGCCGCACACUGCACUCAGCUCCUGGCCAAUCAAUGCCCAGAGAACACAUGAGCUCCUCACACACAAAGGCCACAUUUGCUUUCGGGCCAGAGGGAGACAGAAUCACAGCAGUUUAGAGCUGGUAGGAUGGAAUCUGAGAGAGCAUCCUGUCCAAAACCCUCAUUUCACAGAAAAGAAUCUGAAGCCCUGGCUUAACCUUGAAUGUUAUGGGUUGCAUUUUAGCAAAGCUCCAGAUUUAAAUGCCUAAUGCUGCCUCUGUGCCUCCUGGUGAUGGACCACUUCGGCCUUGUGGGACUUGGAGGUUGGGGAAACUGAGGCAUAGGGGCAGGCAAGGGGUGAACGUGGCAAGUGUGGCAGGUAAUGGGCAAGGUCCAGCCUCUGACUUUCCAUAGCCCUGGCCUCCCUCUCAGCCUCAUACUUCCAGCUCUGCCAGGCCUAGGUGGGGCAGGAUUUGUAGGGGAGUGUCCCCGACAGCAGGAGGGCUCACAGAAGCAAGAGGGAGCCUGGCAUUGUUGAUUUUUUCUCCUCUGACUUCAGACUGAGAAGGCAAAGGGGCUGGAACCUGUAUCCCUGCGUAGCCGGCUGGGAGGAACACAGGCACAAUUUCCAGCCAACCUCAGGCAGAGGGACACUUUUGUUCGUCCUGGGGACCUGCAGGGACUCUGGCCUGGGAACCAGGACCCCCAGACACCUGCUACCUCAAGCUCACCCACCACAGACUUGGCGUGUUGGUCCAGCCAGAGACUGUGCCCCCCUCCUGGAAAAGGAUCAGCCAUAUUCUGAGUGUUGGAAUGCUCCCCAGUUGGCCAGAUGUGAUGCAUAUGGGGAACACACUCACAGCCUCAGCACCCUAAUUCUCCCUGUCACUGUUCUGGAGAGUCAAUUGAUUGCUUUACUUUGGCCCACCUAAACUGCUCACAGUUGCAUUGCCAGGUGAACCAAGUCCCUGGAGCAUGGGCUGUGUGCUCAGCUUCUUGGGAGCACACUCUCCGGGAGGCCUGGGAGCUAAUACUCAUGUGACAGCCUGGAGAGUCAGGACCUUAUUCUCCAGAACUAUGUCAACUGGGUCAUGAGAUGGAGGAAAAGCCACGUGCCUGCCUACCUGCCCCAGGCAAGCAAACAGCCUCUAUCUCUGACUCACUGUGUGUGCCCACCUUGGCACCAAGAGAGCAAUUUCAGUGACAUUCUGGCUUAACGGCAAUGACAUCUCUGCUUCUUAAGGGCUUUUUGGUUCCUGAGUUAAUUAAAAGCCCCAGACGGAGAGGACACACUUAAUCCUAUUAAUGACUUCUGGGCAGGAACUGGUGUGCUCAGCCCUCUGAGGGAGUGCCUUUCUCACUCCACUCCAUUUGUUCAGGUGCCUGGUGAUUGUUUAUCAGCCCUUUUCAAGAGAUUAAGCUGUACUCCUGAGCAGGCCACUUAGGUAAUGGAUCCGGGGGGCCUGGGAGUGUUCAGUGACCACGGAGUGUGCAGCCAGCCGCACUUGGCAAGCUCCAUGGCCACUGUUCUUCAACUUCUUGUUCUUCAGAGCCAUUAGAGGGACUGGAUGAUUGAUGAGAAGAGGGGUCCUCGCCUCAUUUCUUCUGUUCACUGGGCUCUUUCACACACAAGAAGGCUGGACACAGUCUUUGCCCUGAGGGAUCUCAAGAGUCCAGUGGGGUCAUAGACACGUGAGCAAACAAUAACACUUUAGACUCACCACAAUGGAGGUAAGCACAUUGCUUGCCUCGCGUGUAUAGGAUGCUAACUGCUCCAGCCUGCGGACCAGGGAAGUCUCCCUGGAGGAGGAGACAUGUGAAAAUCUUCCCACUGAGAGAUCUGUUGAGGGGCCCAGAAGGUGGAAUUCAUUCCCCAGCUUCAGAUUUGGUUUGGGUUCUAGCAUAAGGCUGGAAGAAU